UGGUGACAAUAUCGGAGGGGGCACACCCGUUCCCAUCCCGAACACGGCAGUUAAGCCCUCCUGAGCCGAUGGUACUUGGGGUCUGGCCCCUGGGAGAGUAGGACGUUGCCA
rnacentral:rRNA from 1 species